AUUGAACGCUGGCGGCAUGCCUUACACAUGCAAGCCGAACGGUAACAGGUCUUCGGACGCUGACGAGUGGCGAACGGGUGAGUAAUACAUCGGAACGUGCCCAGUCGUGGGGGAUAACUACUCGAAAGAGUAGCUAAUACCGCAUACGAUCUGAGGAUGAAAGCGGGGGACCUUCGGGCCUCGCGCGAUUGGAGCGGCCGAUGGCAGAUUAGGUAGUUGGUGGGAUAAAAGCUUACCAAGCCGACGAUCUGUAGCUGGUCUGAGAGGACGACCAGCCACACUGGGACUGAGACACGGCCCAGACUCCUACGGGAGGCAGCAGUGGGGAAUUUUGGACAAUGGGCGAAAGCCUGAUCCAGCAAUGCCGCGUGCAGGAUGAAGGCCUUCGGGUUGUAAACUGCUUUUGUACGGAACGAAAAAGCUUCUCCUAAUACGAGAGGCCCAUGACGGUACCGUAAGAAUAAGCACCGGCUAACUAC
rnacentral:rRNA from 1 species